CCUACGGGUGGCUGCAGUAGGGAAUAUUGGACAAUGGGCGAAAGCCUGAUCCAGCCAUGCCGCGUGGUAGAUGAAGGCCCUCUGGGUUGUAAAUACCUUUUAUCUGGGAAGAAAUAUCUCGUUCUCGAGAAACUGACGGUACCAGAUGAAUAAGCACCGGCUAACUCCGUGCCAGCAGCCGCGGUAAUACGAGGGGUGCACGCGUUAUCCGGAUUUACUGGGUGUAAAGGGUGGAUUAUAGGUAAGUUGAGAAAUCCCCGAGCUUAACUUGGGAAUUGCCAUUGAUACUGUUUUUCUUGAAUACGAUUGAGGUAAGCGGAAUGUUGCAUGUAGCGGUGAAAUGCUUAGAUAUGUUACAGAACACCAAUUGCGAAGGCAGCUUACUAAGUCGUCAUUGACGCUGAGGCACGAAAGCGUGGGGAGCAAACAGGAUUAGAUACCCGUGUAGUC
rnacentral:rRNA from 1 species